UACGUAGGGGGCAAGCGUUGUCCGGAUUUACUGGCGUAAAGAGCGUGUAGGCCGGCCAAACAGGUCCGUUGUGAAAACUGGAGCUCAACCUCCAGACGUCGACGGAACCGUGUGGCUAGAGUCCGGAAGAGGAGAGUGGAAUUCCUGGUGGUAGCGGUCGAAAUGCGCAGAUAUCAGGAGGAACACCGAUGGCGAAGGCCAGGUCUC
rnacentral:rRNA from 1 species